GAUUGAAGAACGCAGCGAAAUGCGAUACGUAGUGUGAAUUGCAGAAUUCAGUGAAUCAUCGAAUCUUUGAACGCACAUUGCACCUCUCGGUAUUCCGGGAGGUAUGCCUGUUCGAGCGUCAUUUGUACCCUCAAGCUCUGCUUGGUGUUGGGUGUUUGUUCCGCCUCUGUGUGUGAACUCGCCUCAAAACAAUUGGCAGCCGGCGUACUUGUUUCGGAGCGCAGCACAUUUUGCGAUCCAGAUCAACGUACAGCGGCAUCCAAGAAGCCUUAUUUAACGCUCUUGACCUCGGAUCAGGUAGGGAUACCCGCUGAACUUAAGCAUAUCAAUAAGCGGAGGA
rnacentral:misc_RNA from 1 species